rnacentral:rRNA from 1 species
GACGAACCAUCCAAACGUUAUUCGGAAUCACUGGGCUUAAAGGGUGCGUAGGCGGCCCGUUAAGUUGGGUGUGAAAUACCUCAGCUCAACUGAGGAAUUGCGCCCAAAACUAGCGGGCUCGAGGAAAACAUAGGUGAGCGGAACUUAGGGUGGAGCGGUGAAAUGCGUUGAUAUCCUAAGGAACACCAGAAGCGAAAGCGGCUCACUGGGUUUUAUCUGACGCUGAUGCACGAAAGCCAGGGGAGCGAACGGG